GGGGGGGGGGGGGGGGGGGCGGGGCGGGGGGGGGGGGGGGGGGGGGGGGGAGCUUGCGCCGGGGGUCAGCGGCGGACGGGUGAGUGAUGCCUAGGAAUCGGCCUGGUAGUGGGGGGUAACGUCCGGAGACGGGCGCUCAUACCGCCUACGUCCUGAGGGAGACAGGGGGGGAUCUUCGGACCUCACGCUCUCAGAUGAGCCUAUGUCGGAUUAGCUAGUUGGUGGGGUAAAGGCCUACCAAGGCGACGCUCCGGAACUGGUCUGAUAGGAUGAUCAGUCACACUGGAACUGAGACACGGUCCAGACUCCUACGGGAGGCAGCAGUGGGGAAUAUUGGACAAAGGGCGAAAGCCUGAUCCAGCCAUGCCGCGUGUGUGAAGAAGGUCUUCGGAUUGUAAAGCACUUUAAGUUGGGAGGAAGGGCAGUAAGUUAAUACCUUGCUGUUUUGACGUUACCAACAGAAUAAGCACCGGCUAACUUCGUG
rnacentral:rRNA from 1 species